UACGUAGGGUGCAAGCGUUAAUCGGAAUUACUGGGCGUAAAGGGUGCGUAGGCGGUUCGUUAAGUCUGUCGUGAAAUCCCCGGGCUCAACCUGGGAAUGGCGAUGGAUACUGGCGAGCUAGAGUGUGUCAGAGGAUGGUGGAAUUCCCGGUGUAGCGGUUAAAUGCGUAGAGAUCGGGAGGAACAUCAGUGGCGAAGGCGGCCAUCUGGGACAACACUGACGCUGAAGCACGAAAGCGUGGGGAGCAAACAGG
rnacentral:rRNA from 1 species